GACGAACGCUGGCGGCGUGCUUAACACAUGCAAGUCGAACGGAAAGGCCCUGCGUUUGUGGGGUGCUCGAGGGGCGAACGGGGGAGUAACACGUGAGUAACCUGCCCUUGACUUUGGGAUAAGUUCAGGAAACUGGGGCUAAUACCGUAUAGGAGCUCCUGCUGGAUGGUGGGGGUUGGAAAGUUGCGGCGGUUGGGGAUGGACUCGCGGCUUAUGAGCUUGUUGGUGGGGUAGUGGGUUACCAAGGCUGUGGCGGGUAGCCGGCCAGCGGGGGUGACCGGCCGUCCUGGGUCCGAGAUGCGGCCCCGGCUCCUACUGGUGGCAGCAGGGGGGAAUCUUGCACCAGGGGCGCCGGGCUGAUGCAGCAACGCCGCGUGCGGGAUGACCGUCUUCGGGUUGUAAACCGCUUUCGCCUGUGACGAAGCGUGUGUGGCCGUAAUCGGUAAAGAAGCCCCCGCUUAAUACGUGC
rnacentral:rRNA from 1 species